rfam:Schistosoma margrebowiei strain Zambia genome assembly, scaffold: SMRZ_scaffold0002688
AUCCAGUUGACGAGUCCCAAAAUAGGACGACAUGCGCGUCCUGGAU